CAUACAUAUACUACACCAUUAUAUAGAGAAUAGAUACCAGAUAGACACAACGUACAUAUAGAAAUACACAGAAAAAUCUCACUUAGGAUUCUUAGGCAUGCUUCACAACUCAUUCAAUUGAAGCUUUGUUUUGGGUAAAUUAAAAUCCAAAUGGUCUGGUCCCUAUAAAUUUAGCCAAGUCUACUCAUCUGGAGUAGUGGAACUCGAAGAUGAAGAUGGGAAUAUCUUUAAGGUGAAUGGAUAUAGACUAAAACUAUAUCUUGGCCCAACGGACUAAAUAAAGUGUAUAGCUAGUGUAUAUCUCAAUGAAGUAUAAGUAAUUGAGAUAUCUGAGUCGUACGGCGACGUUAAGUCAUGCGCUACAUGGGAGGAAACUCAUGAUCCUCGUGCUUGAUCUACUCCAGAUGUAGUCAAGAUGGGAGGAAACGAAAGACAAAAAAGCAAAAGAGAUAAAUUUAGAGCAAAAAGGAAAAGAAAAAAAAGCUGACGACAUUUGUGAUAAGUCAUCAACUUUGUGAUAGUUUAUCAAAAAUAUCGUCAAGUGUUACAGUGUUAGAAAAAUUGAAGUGAAGAUGUGAUGACAUUUUUGAUAUGUCAUCACAACCCUGAUAAGGCAUCAGAGAUGUUGUCAGGCUUAGGCAACGAAUGGAAUUUUGAGUAAAGAAGUGACGACAAUUAUGAUAAGUCAUCAUAAGUCUGAUAUGUCAUCAGAAAUGCCGUCAACCUAAGACAGAGAUUAUUAAAGUUAAAGAAGAUCUGGCAAGAUUUGUGAUAAGUCAUUAGAUCUCUAAUAAGCCAUCACAAAUGAUGUCACUUGUUCGAGCAAAAGCUGCAACUUGAAGAUUUGUUUCCACAUUUGGCUUUUGUUAUUUAAGGAACAGUCUUUAGGUUUUCAUUAUCGAAUCUUGCACUGAUCAUCCAUAAAUUUUUGUGCGAGUUUUCUCUGUAACUUUAACUAUUAGCUUUUGAGAAACUUACACUAUUUUUUGUAGGAUUCUUUUGAGAUCUAAUCCAAGAAACAAUUGUUGCUAUACGUUUUAUUGUAAGUUCAUCUAACUACAUCAUGAAUUCAAAUUGUUAUCUUUUUCUUU